CCUACGGGAGGCAGCAGUGGGGAAUUUUGGACAAUGGGCGCAAGCCUGAUCCAGCCAUGCCGCGUGCAGGAAGAAGGCCUUCGGGUUGUAAACUGCUUUUGUACGGAACGAAAAAGCCCUGGUUAAUACCUAGGGCUGAUGACGGUACCGUAAGAAUAAGCACCGGCUAACUACGUGCCAGCAGCCGCGGUAAUA
rnacentral:rRNA from 1 species